AUAUCUCAACCAUGCGCGGAAGCGCAUGGCUUGGACUUGGGGGGACAAUGCAGGCUCUGACUCUGGUCGGUCUGCUCCCCUGAAAUACAUGAGCGAAAUGAAAGGCCUCUUUGUUGGGUGUGAUAGCUCUAUCUGCAUCCGAGGGGUCGUUUGUGUUUGCCGCUUUGGAUCUCAUUUUG
rnacentral:misc_RNA from 1 species